UUUAGGCAUUGGUGAAUUUGUCAAAUUUUCAUGUUUUCCGCCAUCCCAUAUAUAUCAUCCAACACACAUAAUCAUCACAUGCAUGUAUCAACCAACAUACACCAUCACCACACACAUAUAUAUAUCAACCAACAUGCAUAAUCAUCAUAUAUAUAUAUAUAUAUAUCAAGUAACAUACAUAAUCCUCAUAUAUAUCUCA
rnacentral:lncRNA from 1 species